CCCUUAGAUGUUCUGGGCUGCACGCGCGCUACACUGAAGCUAUCAACACGUUUUCCCUCCCUGAGAAGGGCGGGUAACCUUUUGAAUCAGCUUCGUGGUGGGGAUCGGGGCUUGCAAUUGUUCCCCGUGAACCAGGAAUUCCUAGUAGACGCGAGUCAUAAGCUCGCAUCGAUUAAGUCCCUGCCCUUUGUACACACCGCCCGUCGCUACUACCGAUUGAACGUUUUAGUGAGGCAUUUGGACCGACGCACCUCAGUUUAACCGCUGGUUUGUGUUGGAAAGACUUCCAAACUUGAGCGUUUAGAGGAAGUAAAAGUCGUAACA
rnacentral:rRNA from 1 species